AUUGAACGCUGGCGGCAGGCCUAACACAUGCAAGUCGAGCGAGCGGCGGACGGGUGAGUAAUGUCUGGGAAACUGCCCGAUGGAGGGGGAUAACUACUGGAAACGGUAGCUAAUACCGCAUACCAUCAGAUGUGCCCAUAUGGGAUUAGCUAGUAGGUGGGGUAAGGGCUCACCUAGGCGACGAUCCCUAGCUGGUCUGUGAGGAUGAUCCGCCACACUGGGACUGAGACACGGUCCAGACUCCUACGGGAGGCAGCAGUGGGGAAUAUUGCACAAUGGGCGCAAUCCUGAUGCAGCCAUGCCGCGUGUGUGAAGAAGGCCCUAGGGUUGUAAAGCACUUUCAGUGGGGAGGCGUUACCCGCAGAAGAAGCACCGGCUAACUCCGUGCCAGCAGCCGCGGUAAUUC
rnacentral:rRNA from 1 species